GAUUAACGCUGGCGGCGUGCCUAACACAUGCAAGUCGAACGAUGAAACUUAGUAGACUUCUUCGGAAAGACACUGAGCGGCUUAGUGGCGAACGGGUGAGUAACGCGUGAGUAACCUGCCUUAAACAAGGGGAUAGCCUUUGGAAACGAAGAAUAAUACCCUAUAACACCAUAAAAGCACAUGCUAGGGUGGUCAAAGUGAUAGUGGUGGAAGAGGGACUUGCGUAUUAUUAGCUUAUUGGUGAGAUAAAAGCUCACCAAGGCAACGAUCAGUAGCCGGCGCGAGAGAGUGUACGGCCACAUUGGGACAGGGACACGGCCCAGACUCCUACGGGUGGCAGCAGGGGUGAAGUUGGCACAAUGGGGGAAACCCGGAGGCAUCGGGGCCGCGAGAUUUAGAAGGCCUGCGGGUUGUAAAAAUCUUUUGUAUAGGAAGAAAAUGACAGUACUAUACGAAUAAGGUCCGGCUAAUUACGUG
rnacentral:rRNA from 1 species